UACGGAGGGUGCGAGCGUUGUCCGGAAUCACUGGGCGUAAAGGGCGCGUAGGCGGCCCCGUCAAGCGUGUGGUGAAAGCCCGGGGCUCAACCCCGGGUCGGCCGUGCGGACUGGCGGGCUCGAGCACUGUAGGGGCGGGUGGAAUUCCUGGUGUAGCGGUGAAAUGCGCAGAUAUCAGGAGGAACACCGGUGGCGAAGGCGGGUCUCUGGGCCGAUACUGACGCUGAGGAGCGAAAGCGUGGGGGAGCGAACAGG
rnacentral:rRNA from 1 species